UACGAAGGGGGCGAGCGUUGUUCGGAUUUACUGGGCGUAAAGCGUGCGUAGACGGUUAUUUAAGUCGGGUGUGAAAGCCCCGGGCUCAACCUGGGAAUUGCAUUCGAGACUGAAUAGCUAGGGUACGGUAGAGGGAAGCGGAAUUUCCGGUGUAGCGGUGAAAUGCGUAGAUAUCGGAAGGAACAUCAGUGGCGAAAGCGGCUUCCUGGACCAGUACCGACGUUCAGGCACGAAAGCGUGGGGAGCAAACAGG
rnacentral:rRNA from 1 species